AAGGUAUUUUGUCCUGUAGGAGAUGGUAACCGAGGUUGGGGCUUUGAAUGAAUACUUUGCUCAAGGCAUUCAAUAUCACCUUGAAACAUAAAUGUCAAAACAUAGUACAUCUGACUGCUCCUUGGAUAACCAUCCAUGUCAAGUGUCACUUGUUUUGAUACAGGUACAAAACUACUUCUUGGCCUUUCCAAGGCUUGAUGCAUCCCUGGAAAGAAACCUGGAGGCUUUAUUUAU